AGAGAGAGAGGAACUUAGCCCAGGUCACAACUAAAGAUCGUGAGUUUGGAGGAAUUAUAUGCUUGUCAAAACUGAAAAUCCUUGUAUAUUGUGCAAGGAUGUGGGCUGUGCAUCAUAUCAUUCCUCUGUUUAUUUUGCCAAGAUUUGAAUUUUCUAUUUACCAACUUUGAAUGAAGGGGCUGCCAUAUUUCCUUUGAUCCCUACAGUUGUUAGAGAACUACCUAAGAUGAAAUUUCCAGCUAUUCGAUAGACAUAAAAGAAAUGAACAUGACAGUGGUCCACACUGAGCGAGAAAAGGCAAAAGAUUAGACUACUAGCAUUUUCUAAUCUCACACACAUGAUCCCAUAUAUGUGGGAACAUGGAUCUCGAUUCCAUCUUAUGGUUCCCACCAUCAAUUGAACUGAGACCCAGCUGAGUUGGGUAUUUUUUUAUUAGUUAAAAAGUAUGGUGUUGUGAAGUGAAAAUAGUGAUAGGAAAGUGUAAUUGUGUCAAGUUGGUGGAUACACAGUGGAGUAAAAGGGAGACAACACUAGUGCAGUGAGAGGAGCAGGUCAUGAUUUCUUUCUCAAUCUUUUUUUUAAAAGUAGAAAAUCAGUAAUAGUUUGUUGAUGAUAACAUUUAUAGGAUAAUGAGAAAGUGGAUAUGCGAAGGCUUGUUGAUUGGAACCAAUCAAAGGAAGUCUUGAAGCUAAUUGCAAUACCUGCUUAAAGCUUCAAAAAAUGGGUUCAAUUCCUUGCCCAAAAACAUAUCAGUAUGUAUUCAAUUAUCUUUCGUUGUGCUUCAGUGUUAUAAUCAGGACAAUCUACGUUGGAUCAUUGAUGAUGGUUUUGUA